UACGAAGGGGGCUAGCGUUGCUCAGAAUCACUGGGCGUAAAGGGUGCGUAGGCGGGUCUUUAAGUCAGGGGUGAAAUCCUGGAGCUCAACUCCAGAACUGCCUUUGAUACUGGAGAGCUUGAGUCCGGAAGAGGUGAGUGGAACUCCGAGUGUAGAGGUGAAAUUCGUAGAUAUUCGGAAGAACACCAGUGGCGAAGGCGGCUCACUGGUCCGGUACUGACGCUGAGGUGCGAAAGCGUGGGGAGCAAACAGG
rnacentral:rRNA from 1 species